GACGAGGGGUCCAAGCGUUGUUCGGAAUCAUUGGGCGUAAAGCGGGUGUAGGUGGCUCUAUAAGUCAGAAGUGAAAGCCCCGAGCUUAACUUGGGAAGUGCUUUUGAUACUGUAGAGCUUGAAUGUGGGAGAGGAUCGUGGAAUUCCAGGUGUAGUGGUGAAAUACGUAGAUAUCUGGAGGAACACCGGUGGCGAAGGCGGCGAUCUGGCCCAACAUUGACACUGAGACCCGAAAGCGUGGGGAUCGAAACAGG
rnacentral:rRNA from 1 species